UUCGGCAGACGAAUUCAUAACCAUCCCUUUGUGACGCUAAUAAUAUCAUCCAUACAUUUUAAAACAGUGAAGAGCUUUCCUAUGUUAACUGGUUGAAGUGAUAUUUUUUUUUACAUGACAAAAAAGUCGGGAUGUACCCUAGUAUCCACGUGUGUUUUGUUUUCUUUCUCCUUUUCGUCAGAAUUCAUACUGCAUGGAUCCCUAGAUAUGAUAAAAGAUAUGUAGCAGACUUAACAUUACCUGCUUUACUGGCCAAGGCAGGGAAUACAUGUGCUCAUAUAAAUUGUCGAUACAAGGAUCUCAUUCUAUAUGGAAAGCGGCGCAAACGAAAUGCUUUGUUAAGGUCAUACAAUGCAUGCUGUCGAUGAAGAUAGAUCCAUGAAUGUUUACUGUGAAUCAAAUGUGUAUUAUAAUAAACAUC